rnacentral:lncRNA from 10 species
GGGACUCCAGAUAAGAGCCCAGGCCAAAGGACACCUUGAUUUUGACCUUGUCAGACCUGGAGUUGAAAAACCAGCUGCACCCUUCUAGAAUUCUUACUUACAAAACUGGAGAUGUUACAAGACAAGAUGAUUUCACUGGAAGCUGAGUUUUGCCAGCUUUGGGGAAAUGCUGAUGCAGAACAUCAUUUAUUUAAGGCUGAUACUCAUGGAUAGAAGAGUCAAAGUGCGAAUAUAUGCACCCUUCUAUACGGAUUCUGCAGAAAGAUAUGCUUGGGUCAUGACUCAGCUAUUUACAAAGUUGCUGGUGACUAAUUGCUGGAAAGAAGCUGGGACGUUCUGUGGCCCCUCCAUUUUAUAUCCCCUCCCUUUGGUUCUCUAGGAAAUUGAGUUCAGGAAAGCUACCAGGAAUAAAACUCUUACUUUUUA